GACGAACGCUGGCGGCGUGCUUAACACAUGCAAGUCGAACGCUGAAGACCUGGCUUUUGUUGGGUUGGAUGAGUGGCGAACGGGUGAGUAACACGUGAGUAACCUGCCCUCUUCUUUGGGAUAACGCCCGGAAACGGGUGCUAAUACUGGAUAUUCACUGAUCUUCGCAUGGGGGUUGGUGGAAAGGUUUGUUCUGGUGGGGGAUGGGCUCGCGGCCUAUCAGCUUGUUGGUGGGGUGAUGGCCUACCAAGGCUUUGACGGGUAGCCGGCCUGAGAGGGUGACCGGGCACAUUGGGACUGAGAUACGGCCCAGACUCCUACGGGAGGCAGCAGUGGGGAAUAUUGCACAAUGGGCGAAAGCCUGAUGCAGCGACGCCGCGUGAGGGAUGGAGGCCUUCGGGGUGUAAACCUCUUUCGCUCAUGGUCAAGCCGCAACUGUGGGUUGUGGUGAGGGUAGUGGGUAAAGAAGCGCCGGCUAACUACGUG
rnacentral:rRNA from 1 species